AUACGGAGGAUCCGAGCGUUAUCCGGAUUUAUUGGGUUUAAAGGGUGCGUAGGCGGACUGGUAAGUCAGUGGUGAAAUGCUGCAGCUCAACUGUAGAAUUGCCAUUGAUACUGUCAGUCUUGAGUACAGAUGAGGUAGGCGGAAUGUGGCGUGUAGCGGUGAAAUGCUUAGAUAUACCACAGAACACCGAUUGCGAAGGCAGCUUACUAAACUGACACUGACGCUGAAGCACGAAAGCGUGGGUAUCAAACAGGAUUAGAUACCCUGGUAGUCCACACUGUAAACGAUGAUUACUGGUUGUUUGCGAUAUAUAGCAAGUGACUGAGCGAAAGCAUUAAGUAAUCCACCUGGGGAGUACGUUGGCAACGAUGAA
rnacentral:rRNA from 1 species